rnacentral:misc_RNA from 1 species
CCACGUCCGCCCAAAUAUCCGAGGACAUGGCACUCCGAUGAUGGAAUUUGUUAUCUGCUUUUGUAUGGUUAGAAAGAAGUCUAGAAGAAAACGGCUACAUCUUUUCGAUCCACGAUGCUGGCUAAUGAUACUCUUCGUGCUCUUACUGUGCGCAUGGCAGCUUUCCGACGCCCAAAGGACGUUAUGCGGUGAUGCCGAGUGCUGGCACGGGAACUGCACGGGGGACGGACGUUGUUUAUGUUACCCUGGCUGGCAGGGCCCUGGCUGUCAACGGUGUGGUGGUCGAGUGAGAUUGACAGAGCCAAAUGGUGUAAUCACCAAUGGGAUAGGAAACUACAGCAAGGAUAUGAAGUGUACAUGGCUUAUUGAAAGCGGCAUUCAUAAUGCCACUAUUAGGUUUGAGUUUACACAUUUUGAGACUGAGUGUGGCUGGGACCAUCUGUAUGUGUAUGACGGCGACUCCAUGUUUGCUCCCAUGGUGGCAGCAUACAGUGGCCUCCUCUUGUCAAAAGGAAGCUCUACAAAGCUUCCAGAAAUCGUCACUCAUUCUGGGAGUGCCUUUGUUCAUUUUUACAGUGACGCUGUAUAUAAUAUGAGCGGAUUUAACUUAACCUACAGCGUCAACGGGUGCUCACACAACUGUUCCUUCCAUGGUGAUUGUGUGGAUGGUGUGUGCCAUUGCUCUCAAGGCUGGACAGGAAGCGACUGUGGCACCCAAGUAUGUCCCCAAGAUUGUAACAAUGGUUCUUGUGACAAGGAGGAGCGGCGUUGUAUCUGUGACCCAUUUUUUAAAGGUGAAGACUGCAGCAUUGCUGAUGGUGCUCCACUGUAUGAAGCUCAGUCAGCUACUGGUUGGGUGCGUGGGCGGGCUAUGCACCAGGCGCUUGUUUUAGGAGAUUCCAUGUGGGUCCUUGGCGGUGAAAGCCUCACAGAACUGGAUCAGCAGAUUGCCAAGUACGACUUCCUCACACGAAAGUGGCACACAGUGAAGCCAACAACCACAAGUGCACCAGCCAAUCGCUAUGGCCAUUCAGUAGUAACAUACAGGGGUAAAUUAUACCUGUUUGGUGGCACAUUGCGGGAUGGCCGCACAUCAAAUGACUUAUGGCGCUGGGAUCCUGAGGAACUGCGAUGGGCGCAGCUUUCACCACACCAGCCUGAGUGCCAGAAUGAACUCUGCCCACCACUGACAGCAUCAGGACACACUGCUGCCAUUGUGGACAACACCAUGGUGGUCAUCUUUGGGCACAACCCCGACUACGGAUACCUCAAUGUUGUGCAGGAAUAUACCUUUGGUACCAACAAGUGGGAGAUUGUGCAAGUGAAAGGAGCCAUUGUAAAAGGUGGCUAUGGUCACUCAAGUGUUUAUGAUCCUGUCAGGCACCAGAUCUUAGUGUUUGGGGGUUACCACUCACAGACAACUACAGGUGUUGUUGUGGAUUACCUCUACUCCUACCAGCCUCAUGACCGUACCUGGACACUCUUGGCACCGAGUGCCUCUCAUCGCUACCUGCACAGUGCAGUACUUCUGCAUAGAAUGAUGCUUGUAUUUGGUGGCAACACCCACAAUGACACAGCCUUUAGCACGGGUGACAAAUGCUUCUCCGCUGACCUUCUUGCCUAUGACAUAGAGUGUGACUCAUGGCAUACACUGUCUGUGCCUUCGUCAUCCUACCUCCAGCUAGAGCGUUUUGGACAUUCUGCUGUGGUCUACAACGAGUCAAUGUAUAUUUUCGGUGGUUUUAAUGGCCAGAUGCUGACAAGUAUUGUGAAGUAUACACCAGGGUCAUGCCGAAGUUUCUCCACUCCCGAAAAGUGCAUUACAUCUGCGACUGGCAUCAAGUGUGCGUGGAACCCAGACAAAAAGGCCUGCCAGGCGUUUCAUCUCUUCAAUGCCACCAAGGGUAUCCACACAUGCCCCCGAAAGUCAGCGGCCAACCUGACUGUGCUAUGUGAAAAGCAGACUUCAUGUCCAAGCUGUCUGCAGAAUAACUAUGGUUGCGUGUGGUGUGGCACUAUAUGUGCUCACAAGCGCUGUCCUAAAGGAUCUAAGGGCUUGGCUGAUGCAAGAGAGAACCAGACUGAUGUCGAACAAUGCCAGCAAUCUGAAAGCAGCAAUUGCGACAAGCUUCAUAACUGCCAUGCUUGCCACACAGAAUUUCACUGUGGCUGGCAGAAUGAUCAUCGUUGCUACACAUUUGUUCGUGACUCUGGUAACAAGACAGAAAAGGCAGUGCUGUCGGACAACUAUCGAGUCAAGUGUGAUAACUCGUGCAGUUCAAGGACAACAUGCAAGGCCUGCCUGUCAGGCAGUUGUAUGUGGUGUAUCAGCCAGCAGCGAUGUCUUGAAACCAAUGCAUAUGCUGCCACCUUUCCCCUGGCCCAGUGCACUGAGUGGACCACCACCAAGUGCUCAGCCCUGUCAUGUGAGGACUUCCAGACAUGUAGUGCCUGUCAGGAGCAUGAGCGAUGUGGCUGGUGUGACGAUGGCAGCAAUACAGGCAAGGGCCAGUGCCUGGAAGGCUCAGCUUCGGGACCAUUGUCCUCUGUGGGUUCUGUGUACCGACUCAAUAGCAGCCUCUGCCCUGCUCCAAAUUGGUACUUCACCGACUGCCCCAAAUGCCAAUGCAAUGGACAUAGCACUUGCAAUGGAUCAUCUGAGUGCCUUCAGUCCUGUCAGCACCGCACCGAAGGACCGCACUGUGAGCACUGCAUUGCUGGCUACCAUGGAAAUCCUGCUAAUGGUGGCAAUUGCACCCCAUGUUUCUGCAACAACCAUGGCACUUUUUGCCAUCGGGAGACUGGCAAAUGCAACUGCACCACCAAGGGUAUCAUUGGUCCAAACUGUGAUAGAUGCGAUGAGCAAAAUCAUUAUGUGGGCAGCCCCCAAGAGGAAGGUGGCACCUGUUUUUAUAAUCUCAGUAUUGAUUUUCAGUACACAUUCAACCUCUCCUCUGAGGACUACUACCGCAACAUCAAUUUUAUGAAUGUGCCAAUAAAGGUCGGCAAUGACGUAGAAUUCACUAUCUCUUGCUCUGGAAAGGCUUAUGUGAACAUCUCCAUUGGAUCAGGAGGCCAGCCACCAUCACGUGCCGAUGGUGACGCAGAGCCCGCCCUGUUGGAUAGCCGCAAGUGUGACAACAUCAAGCUACCAUUCUAUGACGAGAAGCACAACUUUGGCUCGCAAAACACCACUUUUUUUGUAUAUGUGUUCAACUUCACCACUCCAUUUGUGCUCCAGAUCUCUUUCUCCCAGCACCGGGCACUCGACCUGCUCCAGUUCUUCAUCACGUUUUCAAGCUGUUUUCUCUCGCUGCUUAUUAUAGCAGCCAUCCUGUGGAAGAUCAAGCAGAAGUACGACCUUUACAGAAGGCGACAGCAAUUGUUUGUGGAAAUGGAACAAAUGGCGAGUCGUCCUUUUGCUGGGGUCACGCUCGAGUUGGACAGUGAGCCGGAUGGGUCGAGUAAGCAGUUUCAAGACGGUAUGAAGCAGGGACACCCAACACCUGUGGCACUUGAGCCCUGUGCCAGUGGCAAGGCAGCUGUGCUGACGCUAAUUGUGCGCAUGCCAACGGGGGGUCAGGAGCACACAGCCACAGGCCAGUCAGGCCUGGCCAUUGCCAGUGCCUUGGUCUCAUUAGGGACCCUCUGCAAGAGUGACACCAUCAAAGAGGAUGGCAAAUCGGACUGCUGGAAGCCCUCGUCCCAUCCAGGGACCUGCAUAUAAGUCGACGGCCACUGUGAUAAUUGCUCAGUGUGUCACCUUUUGGUGGGUGGCACCACCUUUAUACGGGGCACCAGCCAAGCUCCUUUGGCGUUGUGAGUCGUGAUUGGCCCUGCGCUUUAUUGAACUGGCCUUCGUGCUUUUCUUCUUGAGGAGUGGCUACUGUGCCCAGCCCGCAUGCAUUGAGGCUGUUUGUUUUGGCUGCAGCUGCUUGAGGCAUGAACAGGUUCUGAAUUUGGAACUUUAUUUUGGAAAGGAUUUUUUAAUCCAACAUGAUAAGCCAGGUUACUAUUGAGAAAUAUGCAAAAAAAAUCAUUCCUUGUUUAUACAGGGGCUAUUGCCAACCAUGUUCUGAAGCAAGCACAGAGAAUCAAGUGAUUAUCACUGGCCCAGAUGCACUGCAUUCCUUUUAUGUGCAGUGUUUGUAUGUUUUUUUUUUCAAAAGGCCUCUAAACAUAAUUUAGAUAAGUGCAGUGGGUACAUAAUGAUCGACUAUUACAGAAAGCUCAUAAAUAAAUGUGAAGACAGUGAAGCCCUGAUUAUGCGUUGCCUAUUUAUGUGAUUACUCACACUUCAUAUGAACCAUUUAAGGCCUAUUAGUGACCCUUGCAUAAGAGGUCUAUACUGCAUGACAUCAGGUCAUAUAUGACAAGCCUCCUAUGAAGGUUUGUAGUAACCACUGCAAAGCCUAUGUCCAGC